rnacentral:lncRNA from 1 species
AACAACAAAUUAAAUGUAAAAAACGAAAAAAGAAACUACUGCUAGAAGUAGAGCUAUAAGAAAUCGAACAUUCUAUUCUAUUGCGCUCUCAAUUCAACAGGUGGAAGGUCAAUAAUCCUACAAAAUUUUGUUGAAGUGCAUGCAUUCAAUUGUGGUUUUAUUGGGAGAUGAGGAGGAAACGGUUUUGGAAGAUGAGGGGUUUUGGAGGUUGGGAGAUGAGAGGGAAUAGUUUUGGUGCAAUUAUAUACAUUCAAUUGUGGUUUUAUUGGAAGAUGAGGAUGGAACGGUUUUGAAAGAUGAGGAGUUUUGGAGGUUGGGAGAUGAGAGGGAAUAGUUUUGGUGCAAUUAUAUGCAUUCAAUUGUGGUUUUAUUGGGAGAUGAGGAGAGAACGGUUUUGGAAGAUGAAGAGUUUUGGAGAUUGAGAGAUGAAAGGGAGGAGUUUUGAAAGAAGGAGGUAAUGCUAUGUCAGCAAGAUAUUGGAGAUUCAUGGAUUAGUAUAGAUAUAUAACAAUGGAUGCUAUAAUAUAUUAUAAAUAGUAUAGUAUUGUUAAGAAUAUAUUAUAUAGAGCUAGGCUAGUAUAUUAUCAGUAGCACGGAGGUAUCUGUGCUAGCAAAUUGUUUUCAAUGAUGCGGCUUCCAAAUACAUGAUCGGCUCCGUUAGACUUGAUAUACACUAUUAAAAGUAUUUGAAAACUAAAUUUCAUAAUUUUCCGACAUCAUUUGGCUAGUGAUCAAAAUGUCUCAAAAUUGACAAUUUUAAAGGUCGAUGUGAUGCGUUUGUAAAUUUAACGAUGUAAAAUAAUUCAAAUCUGAUGAAAUUUUUAUAGAAAAUUGUUUUCACUAUUUAGAGUAAGAUCAAUACCUCUGACCUUAAAUUCAAGUCUUUUAUCAUUAUUUUUUAUGAGAUUUUUUAUUUUCAGCUGUUCAUUUUUAGACUACUUGUUUGAUAGGUAAAUAAUAUCGAAAAAUUAUAAAAUUUAGCUUCCAAAUGCUUUCAAUAGUGUAGAUCAAGUUUAACGGAGCCGAACAUCGAUUUGAAAGCUAUAUCAUUAAAAACAACUUGGUAGCAGAGGCCUCCGUGUUACCGAUAGUAUACCAACCUAGCUUUAUUAUAUAUGAGAAUAAAUUUUAUAUAUAACUAAAUAUUAUACAGAAUUGAGCUGCUAUACUUUUAAAAGUUCAAGUCGUCGUUGCUUAUAGAUUUUCGGCCCUUAGAUUAAGGAAUGUGUGAUUAGGAUGAUAGUGGUCUCCUAGAAUUGAGUGAGUGAAUAGAAAUGAUCAAAAAGGUAAAUAUAACGAUGGAAAACUUAUAAGCACCAAGUGCUUUGUACUUUUACAAGCACCAUAGCCAGACUCAUAUUAUUAUAUAUAAUAUAUUAUAUUAUUAUUUAUUUAUGUG